rnacentral:rRNA from 1 species
UGGGAGGCAGCAGUGGGGAAUUUUGGACAAUGGGCGCAAGCCUGAUCCAGCAAUGCCGCGUGCAGGAAGAAGGCCUUCGGGUUGUAAACUGCUUUUGUCAGGGAAGAAAUCUUCUGGGUUAAUACCUCGGGAGGAUGACGGUACCUGAAGAAUAAGCACCGGCUAACUACGUGCCAGCAGCCGCGGUAA